UACGUAGGUGGCAAGCGUUGUCCGGAAUUACUGGGUGUAAAGGGCGUGUAGACGGGGAUGCAAGUCAGAUGUGAAAUUCCAGGGCUCAACCCUGGCGCUGCAUCUGAAACUGUGUCUCUUGAGUGCUGGAGAGGAAAGCGGAAUUUCUAGUGUAGCGGUGAAAUGCGUAGAUAUUAGGAGGAACACCAGUGGCGAAGGCGGCUUUCUGGACAGUAACUGACGUUGAGGCGCGAAAGCGUUGGGAGCAAACAGG
rnacentral:rRNA from 1 species